GACGAACGCUGGCGGCGUGCUUAACACAUGCAAGUCGAACGGACAGGCCCUGCUUUUGUGGGGUGCUCGAUUGGCGCACGGGGGAGUAACACGUGUGUAUCCUCCCCUUGACUUUGGGAUAACAUCAGGGAAAUGGGGCUCAUACAGCAUAGAAGCUCCUGCUGCGCAGUGUGGGAUGGUAAGAUACGGCGUUUGUGGAUGGUUUGGCGGCUUAUCAGCUUGUUUGUGGGGUAGUGGCUUACCAAGGCUUUGACGGGUAGCCGGCCUGAGAGGGUGACCGGCCACACGGGGACUGCGAGACGGCCCAGACGCCAACGGGAGGCAGCAGUGGGGAAUAUUGCACAACGGGGGGACGCCUGAUGCAGAAAUCCCGCGUGCGGGAUGCCGGCUUUCGGGUGGUAAACAGAUUUCGAAUGUGCUGAAGCCGGAUUGACGGUAACGAGUAAAGAAGCAACGGCUAACUACGUG
rnacentral:rRNA from 1 species